AAUGAACGUUGGCGGCGUGGAUUAGGCAUGCAAGUCGCGCGAUUUCCUUCGGGGAAGAGCGGCGGAAGGGAGAGUAACGCGUAGAUACCUACCCUCGGGACUGGAAUAGCGACGGGAAACUGUCGGUAAUGCCAGAUAACGUCCCUGGACCAAAGGUGUGAAUCCGCCUGAGGAGGGGUCUGCGUCCUAUUAGCUAGUUGGCGGGGUAACGGCCCACCAAGGCGAAGAUGGGUACCGGGCGUGAGAGCGUGACCCGGCUCACUGGGACUGAGACACUGCCCAGACACCUACGGGUGGCUGCAGUCGAGAAUCUUCGGCAAUGAGCGCAAGCUUGACCGAGCGACGCCGCGUGCGGGAUGAAGGCUUUCGGGUUGUAACCGCUGUCAGUGGGGAGGAAAUUCUUGGGGGUACUCCCCCUUGAUUGACCGAUCCGCAGAGGAAGGACGGGCUAAGUUCGUGCCAGCCGCCGCAGUAAAAC
rnacentral:rRNA from 1 species